UCGAGGAUCUUCGGCAAUGGGCGCAAGCCUGACCGAGCGACGCCGCGUGCGCGACGAAGGCCUUCGGGUUGUAAAGCGCUGUCGAGGGGGAGGAAGCCGCAAGGUUGACCUAUCCCUGGAGGAAGCACGGGCUAAGUUCGUGCCAGCAGCCGCGGUAAGACGAACCGUGCGAACGUUGUUCGGAAUCACUGGGCUUAAAGGGCGCGUAGGCGGGCUGUCGAGUCCGGGGUGAAAUCGUCCGGCUUAACCGGACAAGGGCCUCGGAGACCGGCAGUCUGGAGGGAGGCAGGGGCACGCGGAACUUCCGGUGGAGCGGUGAAAUGCGUUGAGAUCGGAAGGAACGCCGGUGGCGAAAGCGGCGUGCUGGACCUCUUCUGACGCUGAGGCGCGAAAGCCAGGGGAGCGAACGGGAUUAGAUACCCGCGUAGUCC
rnacentral:rRNA from 1 species